rnacentral:rRNA from 1 species
AACGAACGCUGGCGGCAUGCCUAACACAUGCAAGUCGAACGAGACCUUCGGGUCUAGUGGCGCACGGGUGCGUAACGCGUGGGAACCUGCCCUUAGGUUCGGAAUAACUCCCCGAAAGGGGUGCUAAUACCGGAUAAUGUCUUCGGACCAAAGAUUUAUCGCCUUUGGAUGGGCCUGCGUUGGAUUAGCUAGUUGGUAGGGUAAAAGCCUACCAAGGCGACGAUCCAUAGCUGGUCAGAGAGGAAGAUCAGCCACACUGGGACUGAGACACGGCCCAGAAUCCUACGCGAGGCAGCAGUGGGUGAUAUUGGACAAUGGGCGAAAGGCUGAUCCAGCAAUGCCGCGUGAGUGAUGAAGGCCUUAGGGUUGUAAAGCACUUUUACCCGUGAUGAUAAUGACAGUACCGGGAGAAUAAGCUCCGGCUAACUCCGUG